CGGGGAUCAUCCUGGGCAGGAAAUGCACCCUGACCAGCACGCAGCAGUCCCUGAGCAGGAUGACAGCCCUGCUGGCCGUGUACAGAGCGCCCACCACGGCGAGCGUUUCCAGAGAUGUCUUCCGAAGAUGAGGAGCAGCUGGCAUCUCUGCUCAAGCAGUUUUUGAGAAGCAUCGACGAGCGACUUUCUGGCGCCCCAACGCCCCAAAGUGCAGAGGAAGUCCUUCUUCACCUGGAGGAGACCGACAAGAACUUCCACAACUAUGAGUUUGUCCAGCACCUGCGCCAGCGUGUGGAGACCUCCCUAGGGUGCGUGGUGGACAAGGAGCUCGGGAAGUUGUCCCGUGAAGAUGGACAACACACCGUUGACUCAUGUCACGACGCCCUCAUUCACACAGCGACCGGCCGCAGCCAAGCAUCGGCGCAGUACCAGGAGAUGACACAGACCUUGAGAGCCACCGUGACUGCCGCUGCGGAGCGUUUACUCAGCAGCUUUGACGACGACCAGCUACGGAAGGAGGAGGAGAUGCAGCACGGCCGCUACGCUGACGACUGCUCAGACAGUGGAGACUCCUUCAAUCAGUGCUACACCUUCAUUCGACAGGAGCAGCUGCAGGCUUUGGCUGAGAAACUAGAUCCAAGUCAACCCAAAGAGGUGCGCCGGGAGGCCCUGCAGGCGCUCCGUCACGCGCCGGCUUCUGACGUGCUCAGCUGCGAGGGCUGGGCCCGCCUACGCCAGAACCUGUGCGCCACGCUGACCGAGCCCGACGCCGAGCUCAGUGACCACGUUCUUCGGUUCUUCGCGAAGAGCUUCUCUUCGUUGCCGCUGAACGUCACCCGGGAGAUUUACAGCAGCCUCGCUCGAAGUGUGCAGUCCAAUUUUUUGUCCCUGAAGUUGAGCUUUCCGAGCGGCGCGGCCGUCUUGGACAUCAACAGACCCGAGAUCAGCUCUCUCCUCAAACAGAUGCGCCUGAUGAACGACUUUCAAAAGGAGGCGACCACCUUCUGGAUCCGCCACCCGGAAAAGUACAUGGAAGAAAUCAUCGAGAGCACCUUCUCCCUCCUGUCUGUCCAUGGGGAUUCCUCACCGGAGAAAGUCUUGGGGCCCACUGACCUGCUGGCCCUGCUGGAUGUUCAAGCCGCCUGGUUCACAAAAUGGAUGCAUGGCUCCUACAGCAGGACGUUGGUUCUCAGGCUCCUCCAGAGCAAAUACAAAAAUCUGAUGGAGGCCGCUGUGCAGCAGUGCAUCCUUUAUCUGGAAUGCUGCCAGCAUUGCACUCAGAUCCAUUCUGAGGAGCCGCACAGCUCAGGCUCGCCAAUUGGCAGCGUCUACAGUGGAAAGGAGCUGCAGUAUGCCGUGGUCGUCCAUUCCUUGUGCGUGUUGGGCAAAGUCCUCCUCUACGCCAAUGGCCGGAAGCUCUUUCCCAUCAAAGCGGCGGCGCGGAAAGAUCCAGUCACUUUGACGGACCUGGUGGUGAUUCUCAUCAACAUCAUGUACCAACAUCAUCAGCCUUUGUGCAGCGAUAGCUCACACGCAGAAGCGCUGUGCCCAAGCAGCCUGGUGAUAGCGACGCUGAGCGCCAUGUGUGAGAGGACCGAGUGCGCUGACCAGUGUCUCCACCAAGCGCCUGUCGUUCAGACUCUCAUGGUGCCCGUCAUCCAGGCCCUCAAUGGAGGCCAGACCAAACUGAAGUGCCCGGCAGCCACCCUGCCUCUAAUCGCGGACGUCCUGGCUCGAAUGGUCAACACAGACAGAGGGUUAGCUCUCUUCUUGUAUGACAGGAACUUGCUUAUGGGCCCCAACGAAAGAAGCACCGCCGCUCACGUGCUGCUCCGCUUCACGCUUUCGCUGCUCGAACGGGAGUUCUCGGCGUCGAGCGAGGGCGAAAUCCUCUCGCUCCGUGCUGUGUGCGGGGCCUUCAUCUCUGUGUGCGGACAGAUGUACAAGACCUGCGAGGGCCUGCGGGUCCUGGAAGCGUACAGCCUGCACAAAGCUGCCGUCGCCGCCUGGAGGAAGACCAGUUCCUUGUCUGAAAGGAUUUCGACCCCAGUACCUGAAAACAAUCUUGCAACGUCUACGCAGAAAUUGCGACAUCUGCAAAUGUGGGAAGAGACAUUGCUGGACAGCCUGCUGAACUUUGCGGCCACACCCAAGGGCGUGCUGCUGCUUCAUCAGACCGGCGCCAUGCAGGAGUGCGUCUCACACAUGUUCUCUCGCUUUAACAAAAAAUUGCAGGUGAGUCGUCGAGAGAAGUUUGGCUAUGGUGUCAUGGUAACGCAGGUGGCAGCCACGGGGGCAGGCGCGAUGGCUUUGCAGCGCUCAGGAUAUGUGGGGGCCCUGGUUCUGGAGCUGUGGUCGGCGCUGGAGUGCGGCAAUGAGGAUGUCAGGGUGGUCCGACCUGAACCCACGUCAAUGGAACCCAUCGACAGGAGCUGCCUCAAGUCCUUCCUGUCUCUGGUCAACUUGCUGUCGUCCUCUCAGUCCGUGUGGCAGCUGCUGUUUGGACAACCUUUGGCCAACAAGAGUGAAUACACGCUGAGGGAAGUGCCAAGCUCUGUGCCUGACUUGAUUGACAGGCUGAUUGCCGUGAAUUCCACCGCCAAGAUCCGUUCGCUCUUCCACUACGAGCAGUCGCACACGUUUGGCCUGAGACUGCUCAACGUGCUGUGCUCCAGCCUGGACUCCUUCCUGCUACUCGAGAGCCAGUACAAUAUCUGCGCCGUGCUGCUGCAAAGCCAGAGGGACAACGCGGCUGACCGGAACGGCGGGGAUGGGAGCUUCAUUUUAGACAACGCGUCACUGGAGAGGAACCACACGCUGGUUCGCGUCGCCGUUGUUGGAGGACCAUCCGAGAGGAGACUCCCCCCUCGGGCCUUGCAGGAGGGAGACGAUCCCUAUCCCUGGCCCAUGUUUUGGUCAUUCCCUCCACCCACCUGCUACAGUUUGGACCCACCAAAAACCCAACAGAACCCGCUGGAACCCGAGCUGCGUGACUUCCUGACGUCGCCUCGAAACGCGACGACAGAAGACAGCUGGAUGGAGACGUGCCGCCGACUUUACCGCAAAGUUAUGACAGCCGGGCACCACGGCUUGACCGCCACAGUGCUGGCUGACCUUCUGGAGAAGGUUGUGUACCAUCUGUCCAAAUGUUCCGUGGAGCGCUUCUUCUCCCCGCCUGAGCACAACAAAGCACAGGAGGCGAGUGCGGAUGCUGUGGCGCUGUCACCUGUGGAAAUGCUCGGCAUGGACGUCUGCCUGAGAUACGGCGUCGCUCUCAAGCUGCUCCGCCAAGAAGACGCCGCGAGCCACCUGACGCUCCUUAUGAAGCACGUCAAGAAUUUCCUGUCCCGGCGGAGGCUUCCAAUGUCCUCGCCGCUGCUCGCGGGCCAGGAAGAUUAUCCCGGCCACGAUUGGUUGACGUCGACGGUCUUCCUGAUGAUGUCUGGGGACUGGCGGCGAUCUCUGAGGCUGCUGCGCCAUCUUUCCUCUGUGCUCACUUCCGCUUUCAUUUGGCCAGCCAACGUACACGCGUCGGUGGACCUUGCUGUCCGAGUGGCUGAGUCAGGAAUGUCCCCGCUGUACUGGAGCUCGGCUCACUACGUGGAGAUGCUGCUGAAGGACGAACUUCCACAAGCGCACGCCGCCUUCCGGAUGUCCGGUUUCACCCCAUCGCAGAUAUGCAUCCACUGGCUGACUCAGUGCUUCUGGAACUUCCUGGACUGGCCUGAGAUCUGCCACUAUGUGUGCAUAUGCGCACUGAUGGGAGCCGACUACCAGGUGUACGCCUGCCUGGCCGUCCUCAAGCACCUGCAGCCACUUCUGCUGCAGCAAACGCAAGCCCGCCGGUUGCAGGUUUUCCUCAAGGAGGAACCCAUCCAGGGCUUCCGGUUCUGCGACUACCUGGACUUCAUGCAGCUUCUAGAAAGACGCUACCGGAACCUCGUGCUCAGCGACAUGAAAAGCAUCUGCAACCGAGACCUGUAAAUGCAGAGAGUGGAAUGCUAAUGUAAGUAGCAUUUAGCUCAGCACGUCUGCUGCAUACGAGAGAACGUGCCUUCCCUUGUGGACAUGUGAUGACACCCCGUGAAGUUGAGGCUUCAGUUUGUGAGGGAAAAGAUGCUUCUGGCCCCCCUGCAGUCUUUUGAUUUUGAGCUACUACUGUACCAGGAAAAACAACAUGGUUACAAACCAACAGUAUCGAUUUGUAAAAGAAAAUAUCAAUGGACAUAUUUGGAUCAUCUGCCCGACAGUGAGGAUAUGCGGCCUCGUUGAUCAUAUAAAAUUUCUGUCUACCAUUUCUAGGUCCAUAAAGCUCCCAAGUUUCCAAGCAUUCUUCAACCUUUGACGGAACGAUAUCGUUACGCGGAACCGUGAAGCCGCUCAUGAUGAAAGAUGCAUGAGGACGCUUGCAUCACGGCGGUAAAGCCUCAUCAGUAACCACGCCGUCCCCUCAGCCAUCUGAUGUGUCUCAUGCGCGGCACUGCCAGGCGGGAAUCCCAAAUGAGCUGGCCGCGUCGCAGCGCGUCUUCAUCCGGGUCUCAAUUUAAUGCCAAGUGGUGCGUGAGGAUUGGUCGCAGGGGCGCUGCAAGGAAAUUAAAGCGGCGUCAAUAUUUCCAGCCCAAUGGGCAGGAUGAAGAUGUCACUCAUGAUCAUGUUUUGCUCAACAUAACGUCGAUGAGCCAGUAUUGAUCUGUUAUUGUCUACAUGCUGAAAAACAAUCAUUUGGGAAAGGUGCUAGUUAUCUUGUCAUGUGUAAAUGCUUUCAUUACUAGAGGACCAAAAGUGAGAUGAAAUCACAUUUGAGAAGCAUUCCCUCGACCGUUGUAGCGAUAUGUGCUGAGGUGCUAACAACUAUUUUAGUGAGAUUGGGAUACAUGCUUACUAUAACACUGUUUGCAUGUUGAAACUCUGCAGCAGCAGGGGCCCCAAAAUUGAACCCUGUGGAACACCGUACGACAGAAGAAAAAUAGAAGUCUAUGACAUUUUUCUGAAAUUACAUUGUAAAAUUAUACUUUUACAGACACUAAUAAUAAUCAAAUGGAAUGUAAAGAAAUAAGUGCAUCAUGAUGAAUUCAUCGCGGCUCCUUCUGGCGGGCGCGACGUAAAUCCGUCAUGGUGACAAAUGAAUAUCUCAACUGCUGUAAUAAAUGCCUGUUUUUGUAUGGUAAAUUUUUGCUCUCAAGUCAAACCAGAAAAUCCCCCAAAUGACGGUUUUUAUCUUUCUCUAUCUCUAGGCGCGAAUUUAUUACCGUUUUCUUGGAAGAGGCUCACAAAAAGUAAGGCCACAGCAUGGUGCUGGUGCUAAUGCUGCUAUCAUGUGUGGACCUUGUUGUGCAGCAUAAAUAAACAAGUUUUCAUUCAGUCAUAUAUUUUUUUUGUUGCUUUAUUGACUGAAAUGUGAACAAUUUGCUUCUUGAAUAUCACCAGGCUGACAAAAUGCUGCGGGAGCCCGUUUUCCAAAACAACCAAAUGUAAAUCAGUAUGCAAAUGUCAGACCUGCGUAUAAAAAAGAAACACCACCACAAUCAUUUUGCAAGCGCGUUGUCAAGCUGACUGGAACGUGCGGCUGCUAAUGGCUUGACAAGCGAGCACAAAAAGAAUCAAACAUACUUUUUAUUCUUUGCUUUCUUUUUUUUUUUUGCCAGCCGCUGUGAAAAAGAUGCACGCAGUGUUUUAUAUUAACGCUAAUGUAUGCAAGCUGGGAGCCUCUCCAAGAAAAACAAAACACUUUUUUUUUUUUUUGCAUGGAAAUGACAAAACCUGCCAGCAGUGACAAAAAGUCUUUCACAGAAGAAGUCCGAACAAUACCGAGGCAAAAAAAAGAAGACUGUAAUCAUCAGUUUGUCGGAGAAUGAAAUGCCAUUUCAAAUAAUCCCUUUUAAUCACUGCUGUUAAUGACUACAGUCAUUAUCAGACCUUCAAAAAAGGAAAGGACCUGCAAGUUCAAACAAUAAUACCACAAAAAUAAUUAUUUUUAAAUUACUCGUUGAACAUCUUCAUGAGAGAAACAGCGAGAGAAUUUAAUGAAACAAUUUUAUGGGCGAAAGUUAACAAUUUUACUCUGGUAAUGUUGCAUCUUUUUCCACCCCCAUCCCAUAAAAGUCUUUGUUCUUACGUGAUGAAUUUGUUUUUCUAACUUGACAAUUUUUCGUGGUCAACAAUUGUAUGUUUCUACAGUUCCACAACUCUGUUUACGUUUCAGCUCUGCACAAUUACGGUUUGUACAAUUGUGUGUUUAUGGUCAAGAAGCGCAUGUGGUUGGUCAUCAUGCACAUCUGUGGUCAAAAAUUGUGGCCAACAAUUGUGUGUUUAUGGUCAGCAAUUGUAUGUUCACAGUCAAAAAAUUUGGGUUGGACUUUUAGACUCUGGUCAACUUCUGUUGCCAACUGUGCGUUUAUCAUACUUGCAAGCCCCUCUAUACCGCAUUCCAGUCGGCAUUUUGUCAUUUGCUGCAUAUGGCAAACGGGAUCUCAUCCCGGGACUGUGACCCACAUUCUCGUGGCGUCUCUCAACAUCUUAUCCAGUGUCAAUGUCAAAACGCUUCCCGAGGUUUCCUCCGGCUGGCCUGGUGACGUUUCCAGCAGGCUGUGGACGGCGAGCGUGCGACAUCCGACUUUUUGGUCUUUCUUUUUUUUUUUUUUUCUUCCAUCCCAUCCCAACAAUUCACUGACGUUGCACCAGCUGACGCAGUGCUGGGGGACGGAUAACCUUUGUGAGACGAGGAGCUCUUUUAUGAGCGCAGACAGUCUUGUGUGUGUCACUGACUUCGCUGUCAGUGUGCUUGAGUGCUUCUGAAACGGAGUAAAAAGCUCACUCCAUUGCACCAUGUUAAGGGACUCGAUAUUUGGCUAUGGAAAGCUAUUUGAGCAUUUCUUCCAUGUCGCUGAUAUCUAGCUAAAUGUCCCGGAAGUCAAUUCAGGAAGUCAAGUCAGCGCACAAGCGCACUACUAAAAUGCGAGUGAAGUAUUAUAUUAGUACUAAAAUUUACAAUGACUGAAAUUUUGUUGUUGUUUUUCUUUACACAGUGCCACAGCAUUUUGAGCAUUAGCAUCACAAGUCCACACCGACCAUAUUAUUCAGCAUUAGCAUUUCAAAGAACUUAAACAGCAUUUUUUAGCAUUAGCAUCUUAAGUCCAGAGACGAUUUUUUUAUGACCUCAGUCAGCCUUUUUCUUUAUAUAUAUAUAUAUAUAUAUAUAUAUAUAUAUUCAGAAGUUCACAGAGCGCAUUUAGUAUUAGCAUUCCAACUGCUAUGCAUUUAGCAUUAGCAUUCAGAAGUUGUGUUUAGUAUUAGCAUUCCCACUGCGCAAGCAACAUUUUUCUGCAUUAGAAUCGACACGCAUACAUAUUUAUACUUACAUAAGUUAACAUAAAAUAGCUUGUCAUAAACACAUAAUUGUUGGCUAUAGGCAUGUAAUGGUUGACCACAUUUGCUGACCAGGAACAUGUAAGUGUUGAGCAUUAACAUACAAUUGAUGCACAUAAACCGACAAUUGUUGGCCAAUAAACGUACAAUUGUAUUUUCACGGGCCCUGAGUUUUAUGUUUAUGGCUCUGAAUUUUAUGUUGAUAACCAACAAUUGUAAGUUUAUCCUCAGUUGUCAGCUGAUGGUCAUUAGUUGCGGGUGGCAAAAAAUAAAUGUCGUUAUUUGAUGACAAUUUGGCACGGCUUUUUUUUUUUUAUUUUGGCACCAGUGCUGACAUGGAGCAACUUGUUCAUACUGACAUAAUGUGCUGGUUAUUUUAAUGAGUAAUUAGUGUCCAGAAGCUCAUUAGCGGUUGCGGGUGGGCCGACUUGACCUUGGUAAAGCUUGCACUUUAGCGAUGAUAGCACUUAAUGGCGGAUGUUUUUUUAAAAUUGUUUUAUUUUUUUUAUAUUUAGUGUUGUGCUGUUGUUGUUGUUAAUGACGAUCCUUUUCAAGGCAACUACGACCGGGUAAUUAUUGCUAAUUAGAACAAUGAGGAGACCGCGAGGUGUCGUAGCCGCGCUUAUCUUUUAAGCCUCUUUUGUAUCCCGCGCACGGAAAUUUACAAAACCGAACGGCUACUCGCGGCAAUGGGAAGAUCAUGUGAAGAAGAAAGUGGCUCAUCGCACAAGGUUCUCUUUUGUACUCUUCUGUUCACAACUAUGAUCAGCGGUUGUAAAGUUGUUUCAAAUGUUUCAGUCAAUGAUUGUGCAUUUAUGGCCCUUGUUUGUCCGGCCAUCAAUUUAACGUUUAUGUUCAUCACUUGUACGUUUACGGCAAACAUUCUCAUGUGUAUAUUCAACAAUGGUAUGUUUACAGUCAACAAUUGUAUGUUUAUGCUCAGCAAUUGUACACUGUAUACCAGUUUCUGCUCUGUACAAUUAUUCCUGUUCCUUCCAAGGAAUAAAUGACAAACACAAAAAU